rnacentral:rRNA from 1 species
GAUUUCUGGCUCGUUGCCCUAGCCCGCUUACUUCGGUGGGUGAGUGCUGGUGCAAUCUGCCAUCCUUCCAGAGAGCCGUGAGUACCAUUUACUUGGCCGCUCGCGUGCGAUCUGGAUCAUUUACUUUGAAAAAAUUAGAGUGUUUAAAGCAGGCUUACGCCUUGAAUACAUUAGCAUGGAAUAAUAACAUAGGACUUCGGUUCUAUUUUGUUGGUUUCUAGGACUGAAGUAAUGAUUGAUAGGGAUAGUUGGGGGUGCUAGUAUUCAGCGGCCAGAGGUGAAAUUCUCGGAUUCGCUGAAGACUAACUUAUGCGAAAGCAUU